UACACUGCGUUACAUUGGGAAACCUGAGAAAUUUCCAUCUGAGAGUGGGUGGGAACAUUGAAAAGAGAACAUGGGUUCCCCCUGAGCCGGCAGGGAAGAGACCACAGGCGGCACCAGACACACACCGACACACAACGACACACACACACCUGCCUGACAACACCUGUACACCACUGCCACCAUGCUGCGCUCGGGGUGGAUGUUCACUGUGAUCCUCAUCCAACACGUCGGGGGGAUCCCUCUGCUACCUCCUCUGGCUAUGGAAGGUGGCUGCUUCCUGGCUUCUGAAGAGGUGGAUAUUUUUGUGUUGGAGGGUGAGGCUAUAAUCCUCUCCUGCCCAAUGUUUGACGGAGUGCUUGAAAAACGCAACAUCGCCCCCCCAAACGCAAACUACCUCAUCACCAAGGACAAUGGGAUGGAGGGCGUGUCGUUUCAGGGCGAGGGCCGUGUUCAGCAGCGGGAAAAACAGCUUUGGUUUCUCCCAGCAGAAGCCUCCGACUCAGGAGAAUACACCUGCAACUACAGAAAUGAAACGUACUGUGUGACUGGGAAUAUAACGCUGAGAGUGUACGAGUCCAGGUCUGUGGACCAGGAGAAACUGACCAGCAAAGUAGAAGUGGAGGUGGGAGAGAAUCUGAGAUACGCUUGUCCGUCUCUGGACGACUUCAACGACACAGAGACUCUGAUUGAGUGGAACAAGGACCCUCGGCGAGGCAGAGCGGGCCCCUUCAGCCAGGCCAGAGGGAGGCUGAUAAUCCCUGCUGUGAGGCACUCACAUGCAGGUCAGUACACCUGUCGGCUCACGGUGCUCAUCGAUGAGCAGCCGUACAGAGUGAGCAGAAGCAUCGCGCUCAUUGUGAGAGGCGUAGAUCCUGAACCACCGAGCACCACCUCCAGCACUUUGCAUGACCUCUCCUCCACCUCUGACUCAGAGAUCCUCAGCAGCAGCAGCAGCACGGUUUACACUCCAGUGAUUCGUCCCCCUGUGAUUGUCUCGCCAAAGAAUGGGACUGUCUUUGAAAGUCUGCACGGUUCAGGACUGGAGCUGUUCUGUAAGGUGCUCACUGAAUGCCAAACGGCAGAGUCCACUGUGGUCACAUGGCUCGUCAACGACCAAUCAGUGGAGACCUCGUACCUUGAUGGACGGGCUCUGCAGGGGGGAAGGAGGGUAACCGCGGAGUCUGAAGUGUGCCAGGUUGAGUUGAGGCUUCUUAUCGUAGCGAUGACUAACGAAGACGUGAACACGGAGCUGAAGUGUGUCGCUCAGAACAAAGGAGGGAGACAGGAAGUGGUUGCACUGCUUCAACUAGAGGACACCACGUCUACCUGGCUGCUGGUCGCUACUGUGGCCGCCUGCUUCUUCCUGACCGUCGUGUCCAUCUUCCUUUACGUCCUCUUCAAACCUAAAAGGACAAAGAAAAUGGAUUACUUUCUGGCUCGGCAGAACAGCACCUUUUAGCACGCUACCUCCACAAACACAGACCCUCUCGAUGAGUUUGCUGUUACAUUACAGUUCAUGCAUUGUGUGCACGUUGUGUCGUGCAGUGACACCGUCUGGUGAACAACACUCCUUCUGCAGGGAUCUAAUAGCUGUACUUUAAACGCAUGAAUGAUAUUGUAUGUGUUAAUGUGGAAAUUACAUCCAUAUAUUUACAUUUUAUACAUAACCACAAAACUGAUGCUACACAGCAGCACAGCACAACUUCUAAAACAGGAUUAAAGAGGACUAAAAUCCAAAGUUUGCUUCUAUUGGCCAGCACUCCAACACACUGUAGGUGAUAGGCUAAGGGGCGGGACAUCACUAACCGGUUGACCAAUCACAACACAGAUGGUCAGCUAACCAGUCAGAGCAGACUGGGCUCUGGUUUCAGACAGAGGGGUAAGAGAGGUGCUGCAGCACAGGCAGUAUGAGAAACAUAAAGAGCUUUUUGAACAUUAAAGCAUGG